rnacentral:RNase_P_RNA from 1 species
AGUAAAUUGGGCAGUCGCGGAGCGUUUUACACUGCUCUGAGGAAAGUCCGAGCUUCAAACAGCAGGAUAACGGCUAACGGCCGCCGAGGGUGACCUUAGGGAAAGUGCAACAGAAAUAAACCGCCGCUUUUGCGGUAAGGAUGGAAAGGCGAGGUAAGAGCUCACCGGCGUGCAGGAGACUGCACGGCCAUGUAAACCCUAUCCGAAGCAACACCGACCGAAUGCAAUUUUUUGCGCGUCAGCUGGGCGUAUAUUCAACGGGUGGCUUGAGCGUGCAGGCAACUGUACGUCGAGAAAGAUGAUUGCCUUAAAAGACAGAACUCGGCUUACAGAUUUACUCA